rnacentral:rRNA from 1 species
CCAAUAGCGUAUAUUAAAGUUGUUGCAGUUAAAAAGCUCGUAGUUGAACCUCGGGGUCUACCCAUUGGUCAGGCUCAAUUGUCUGCACUGGUGAGAUGGAUCUCUACCUUCUGAGGAACUUUCAUGCCAUUUAUUUGGUGUGAUGGGAAAUCAGGACUGUUACUUUGAAAAAAUUAGAGUGUUUAAAGCAGACUAUCGUCUGAAUACAUUAGCAUGGAAUAAUGAAAUAGGACGGACUGAUUCCAUUUCGUUGGUUUCUAGGAUCACCGUAAUGAUUAAUAGGGAUAGUUGGGGGCAUUAGUAUUCAAUUGUCAGAGGUGAAAUUCUUGGAUUUAUUGAAGACUAACUACUGCGAAAGCAUUUGCCAAGGAUGUUUUCAUUAAUCAAGAACGAAAGUUAGGGGAUCGAAGACGAUCAGAUACCGUCGUAGUCUUAACCAUAAACUAUGCCGACUAGGGAUCGGAUGAUGUUAAUUUUUUAAUGACUCAUUCGGCGCCUUACG